rnacentral:rRNA from 1 species
UACGUAGGGUGCGAGCGUUGUCCGGAAUUAUUGGGCGUAAAGAGCUUGUAGGCGGUUUGUCGCGUCUGCUGUGAAAUCUCAAGGCUCAACCUUGAGCUUGCAGUGGGGUACGGGCAGACUAGAGUGUGGUAGGGGAGACUGGAAUUCCACGUGUAGCGGUGAAAUGCGUAGAGAUGUGGAGGAACACCAGUGGCGAAGGCGACUCUUUGGUCUGUAACUGACGCUGAGGCGGACGAAAGCGAUGGGGA